rnacentral:rRNA from 1 species
GAUGAACGCUGGCGGCGUGCCUAAUACAUGCAAGUCGAGCGAACGGACGAGAAGCUUGCUUCUCUGAUGUUAGCGGCGGACGGGUGAGUAACACGUGGAUAACCUACCUAUAAGACUGGGAUAACUUCGGGAAACCGGAGCUAAUACCGGAUAAUAUUUUGAACCGCAUGGUUCAAAAGUGAAAGACGGUCUUGCUGUCACUUAUAGAUGGAUCCGCGCUGCAUUAGCUAGUUGGUAAGGUAACGGCUUACCAAGGCAACGAUGCAUAGCCGACCUGAGAGGGUGAUCGGCCACACUGGAACUGAGACACGGUCGAGACUCCUACGGGAGGCAGCAGUAGGGAAUCUUCCGCAAUGGGCGAAAGCCUGACGGAGCAACGCCGCGUGAGUGAUGAAGGUCUUCGGAUCGUAAAACUCUGUUAUUAGGGAAGAACAUAUGUGUAAGUAACUGUGCACAUCUUGACGGUACCUAAUCAGAAAGCCACGGCUAACUACGUG